rnacentral:lncRNA from 1 species
CCGAAAGUAGAUGCACUAUCUGAUCAUUCAUUAUCUCGGUAAAAGGCGAUGAUCACAUGCUUCCAUUGGCCAGCAAUUAGUACACUGCUAAGCUGUCAUCAAAAUAGGUUUGCGUCUCCAUAAUUUUAUCCUUUUGUUUGUUGAUGCGAUAGCUAAGAAAAAUCGUCUGUACAUGUUGUUUCUUUUGGCUUUACAUAAUCUCCUCCAUUCAAAAGGUGCACUAGUGGAGGUACC